GAUGAACGCUAGCGGCAGGCUUAAUACAUGCAAGUCAAGGGGGUAGCAAUACAACCGGCGCACGGGUGAGUAACGCGUACACAACAUACCAUAUACUGGAGUAUAGCUUUGGGAAACUGAAGGUAAUCCUCCAUAACAUUGCGAGAGGGCAUCUGAUUGCAAUUAAAGUUUCGGCGGUAUAUGAUUGGUGUGCGUUUGAUUAGCUAGUUGGUAGGGUAACGGCCUACCAAGGCGACGAUCAAUAGCUGGCGUGAGAGCGCGACCAGCCACACUGGAACUGAGACACGGUCCAGACUCCUACGGGAGGCAGCAGUAGGGAAUAUUGGACAAUGGAGGAAACUCUGAUCCAGCCAUGCCGCGUGAUAGAUGAAGGCCCUCUGGGUUGUAAAUAUCUUUUAUCUGGGAAGAAACACUCCUAUUCUUAGGAACUUGACGGUACCAGAGGAUAAGCACCGGCUAACUCCGUGCCAGCAGCCGCGGU
rnacentral:rRNA from 1 species